ensembl:lncRNA
GGGCUGUUGGGGAGAGAGCUGACCAACACCUGUACCUCUCUCAUCUGCACACCUGGGUGCUGGCAUCCCCUGCACCAUCAGGCAGAGUGGGGGAAGCUGUGUGAAUUACUAAGUCCAUUAGCAGCCCUCCUUUGCUGCAUGGCUGUGAGCUUUCGAUGAGAGAAUCCCAAAGAGGCUCUGAAAGUCACGCGAGAGGAGAGAUGAACCAGAUGGCUUCUCUGCAAAAUCAAGAUUGGAUUUUAGGGCUUCACAUGAUUUACAAGGCAUUGUUUCCUGCUGGCAGCAGAUUGCACACUUGCAAGGAGGACAUUUGGAAAAAGCCAGAAGUGGAGUGACACCAACCGGCACAGCUACCCAGCUCUGUGUGAGGACAACAAAUGGGUGCUUAAACAGAAGUGUGCUUUCGCAUAGUGCAGUUGGAGAUAUUCUCCCUUAUGGUGACUGAUGGUCUGAAGGCAGGUGGUAGGGGAUGGGUGAGGAGGGCAGCAGAGGCCAUGGACUUCGCCAUCACCUGCCCGUGGGGAUGCCUGUGGUGGGGGAGGAUGUGUGUGCCCAAGUCUGGUACAGAAAGCUAGGGUUGUGCCACCAUCCCUAAGGGCAUUUCUAAUUGUAUCUUCUUUGGUGGGGAGGAGUGCUGGCUCGUAGGUAUCCGCCUGUGGGUUCCAUGUGGCCAAAGCCAUGAGAGGAUAUGCACACAUGUCGAUCAGAGCUGGGUUUAUCACGUCUCUUUUUCUUUAUUGCCGCCCUUCUCCGACUUUGCUUCCCACUGACUCUGUGAUUUCCUGUUAAAAUAUAACAGCAGAGCUGUGCAUUUUAAUCCCGUGUAAUUGCAGCCCUCGUCACCUCGUCCAUCCCAUGCAUCCCACCUCCACUUGCCCCUUGCCCUGCAGCGACACAUCGACAAGCUAUUACACGAGGAGGCUGUGAGGGGCUCUUGUUCUCCUUUCCUCCACCCUCUCAUUAUUUUUAGAGCUCAAGGUUCCUUGCCUCCACCCCGUGCAGCCUCCUGAAGCAGGCAGGGGCCAUGAAAGCCACCCCCGGUGCAGGUGUGACUCAGCCAUGCAGUUUCGGGGCUCUUUGUGCAGUUUGGAGGAGGAUGAGUCACAGAAGGCGAAGGCAGAGGCUCAGCUGGCAGGAUCAGGCGCUGAAGGUCCAUGGCUUCCUACAGCAAUCCCACCCCUGGUGCAGGCUGUGCACUGCAGAUGUGGGGCGACCGAUUGGAUAGGUACAAAUUAUCAUCAGGUCGGCUGUGACUGAGAGAAUUUAAAAAAAAGAAAAGAAGUUCCUUCUUCAUUAGAAGGUCUGGGGAAAAUGGUUCUCUGUUAACACAACCUUUGUCAGCUUUCUGCGGCAGGGGCAUGGGGUGUUUCCACAAACCUCCUGCAGAGCAGCAUGCAGCCCUGUAGCUCUGGACUGACAUUUUUCAGUGAAAACCAGUGAAACGGGAAUUGCCCUGAUCAGCGCUUAUAUAGGAGAUGCUAUUUAUUUUUCCUGUCCCAGACAUCAAGCAGAGCAGUGUCAAUAACUGUCUCCUGGAGACAUUUUUCUACCCUGCUUCUACAGAGACCCUAUCAAACUAAAGACAUCUACCAAUUGUUUCGUAUUCCUUUGGACUCAACUUGCUGUACAGGAGAUGGAUGAUGACUCAGAAGGCUUGGAUGCAUUGUGCGUAAAUCAGCAAUGAGAACCAAUUGUUUUAUGCUAACAUAGAAGCAGACUAGUCACCAGUUGGUUGUCCGAUAGGAGAACUUUGGCUCCUGAUGGGGAACGGUCUCAGUAUUGUGCCCAUGCCGAACUAAAUCCCAAGAGACUUGGACACAUAGCAGGCACAAGGAUGGAGCACAACUGCUGAAUACUGGUGCUGUACACAUAAUGAAUCUAUAAGCAAAAUAAGCCAUUUUGGCCUCUUGAUAAACAUACACUGUUGGGUUGAACAAGCAGUGGGCACGCACCAAAAGCACCCUUUUUCAUGGCAACAAUGCUGAAAGUCAUUUCUUGGUGCUUUUUGAGCAGAAAGGCUGCUAUGCUAGUAGAUACCUUCUCCAUAACAUCUUUAUUCCUGUGGAAAAGAUAGAUCUGGAACAAGAAAACAUUUCAGCUGUUACUCAAGUUUUGACCAAAGGCUUUGCACCAGCCAUUACAGACCUUACAGAAGAACUCUGCGAGCAUAAUUGUUGGCUUUCUGAGCAAGGGUAAAAGUUUAAAACUCGUGGCACAGAGCAUGUAAAAACAAACCAAGAGCAGUCCUGCUGUCAAGUGUCCAGUGUAUGCAGGAGCCCGGCGAGAGCCCAUGG